GAUGAACGCUAGCGGCAGGCUUAAUACAUGCAAGUCGAGGGGCAGCAUGAAGUAGCAAUACUUUGAUGGCGACCGGCAAACGGGGGCGGAACACGUACACAACCUUCCUACAAGUGGGGAAUAGCCCAGAGAAAUUUGGAUUAAUACCCCGUAACAUAGCGAUGUGGCAUCACAUUGCUAUUAUAGCUUCGGCGCUUGUUGAUGGGUGUGCGGCUGAUUAGAUAUUUGGCGGGGUAACGGCCCACCAAAUCUACGAUCAGUAGCUGAUGUGAGAGCAUGAUCAGCCACACGGGCACUGAGACACGGACCCGACUCCUACGGGAGGCAGCAGUAAGGAAUAUUGGACAAUGGACGCAAGUCUGAUCCAGCCAUGCCGCGUGAAGGAUUAAGGUCCUCUGGAUUGUAAACUUCUUUUAUAAGGGACGAAAAAAGGUCUUUCUAGAUCGUCUGACGGUACCUUAUGAAUAAGCACCGGCUAACUCCGUGCCAGCAGCCGCGGUAAAAC
rnacentral:rRNA from 1 species